CCGAGACUCACAAGAGUCAGAAGUCACCUUCGACUUUGAUGCACAUAUGAUAAGUCAUAUGGAGGCAGAGUCAGAGGAAGAGGUGACUACGGUGGUACAAAUUGUUUCAGAUGAUGAUGCUGAUGCUGCACUGCCCAAACCGAAAGAAAAGGUCAAACAAAAAAAAAUAAACCUAAGAACUUUGAUGCAACAAAAAUUGGAUUUAAAAAAACAGGCAGUUGAAGCUGAGAUUAAUUUUUACAGGGAGUUCCUUGACAAUAUGAGAAACCAAACUGCUGCACUGGAGCAGAUU